AAAAAGGUAAGCUAAAUUAAGCUAAUGGGUUCAUACCCCAUUUAUAAAGGAUAAGCCUUUCCUUUUUA
rnacentral:tRNA from 1 species